AGUGAACGCUGGCGGUAGGCCUAACACAUGCAAGUCGAACGGCAGCACAGUAAGAGCUUGCUCUUACGGGUGGCGAGUGGCGGACGGGUGCGGAAUACAUCGGAAUCUACUUUUUCGUGGGGGGUAACGUAGGGAAACUUACGCUAAUACCUCAUACGACCUACGGGUGAAAGCAGGGGAUCUUCGGACCUUGCGCGAUUGAAUGAGCCGAUGUCGGAUUAGCUAGUUGGCGGGGUAAAGGCCCACCAAGGCGACGAUCCGUAGCUGGUCUGAGAGGAUGAUCAGCCACACUGGAACUGAGACACGGUCCAGACUCCUAGGGGAGGCAGCAGUGGGGAAUAUUGGACAAUGGGCGCAAGCCUGAUCCAGCCAUACCGCGUGGGUGAAGAAGGCCUUCGGGUUGUAAAGCCCUUUUGUUGGGAAAGAAAAGCAGCAGGUUAAUACCCCGCUGUUCUGACGGUACCCAAAGAAUAAGCACCGGCUAACUUCGU
rnacentral:rRNA from 1 species